rnacentral:rRNA from 1 species
AUUGGACGCUGGCGGCAUGCCUUACACAUGCAAGUCGAACGGCAGCACGGGUGCUUGCACCUGGUGGCGAGUGGCGAACGGGUGAGUAAUACAUCGGAACGUACCUUAUCGUGGGGGAUAACGCAGCGAAAGCUGUGCUAAUACCGCAUACGCCCUGAGGGGGAAAGCGGGGGAUCGAAAGACCUCGCGCGAUUAGAGCGGCCGAUGCCUGAUUAGCUUGUUGGUGGGGUAAAGGCCCACCAAGGCGACGAUCAGUAGCUGGUCUGAGAGGACGAUCAGCCACACUGGGACUGAGACACGGCCCAGACUCCUACGGGAGGCAGCAGUGGGGAAUUUUGGACAAUGGGGGCAACCCUGAUCCAGCAGUGCCGCGUGAGUGAAGAAGGCCUUCGGGUUGUAAAGCUCUUUUGUCAGGGAAGAAACACCGGCUCUAACACAGUCCGGGAAUGACGGUACCUGAAGAAUAAGCACCGGCUAACUACGUGCCAGCCGCCGCGGUAA